UUAGCAGCACAUUACAUCCAUCUAACCCAAUUAAAAUAUGCGAAAACAUUGAUUGAAAUGGAUUGGAUUCCAGGAGCUGAACCCCAAUCCGAAUGGGCAAGAAUGCGUUCUGCAUUAUUGACAGGCUUUAGAGGCAGCAACAGCGGCUUUACUGGCAGCAACAGAGUCAGACAUGCAACUUUCAAUACAGUUGUCCCGUCGCCCCAGACUGUCUUUGAAGGAUGGAAAUGCUUCACAGCUUUAUUUAUGGCUUCUCUCGCUUACCUGUGCUACAUCUACUGGGACAGAAUAGAGCUUGCUUCACAAGCUGCCUGGAGUUGGGUGAUAAAAUGUCCAGCUAGAUGGAAGAACUCAGCGGAGAAGGUGGAGCGGCAAAAGUCCAGAAAAAGGCGGUUAAACCCUCUGCUGAUCAAAGUCAAGCGGCUGGAAUUGAAACUGACUGCUAUGAAGAGAGCCUUGGAGAAGCACGGUUCACAUCGAACCUCCCCAUCUUGUUCCUCCCCACACUGCUCUCAGCACGUUCUCCAGACCAAGGGCUCUGUACACAUCAGCAGCUACUCAGACUGGGAGAGUGCUGCAUAGGCCAUAGUCUUAGAAGAUGAAAUGGACUGCACUCCAAUAGAGACAUUUAAAUGAUUCAUUUAUUGACCCUGUUGUUUAGACUGUAGAGUGCCUGUGUUGAUACAGAAUUGCAUUGGCAUGAGAAAACACUUGUUUUCUAAAUAUAUUUUCUUUCAAUAAUA